UAAAAUUUAAAGUUAAAAUACUAAAAUAGUAAAUAAAAUAUUUGUUGAAACUUAAAUAAUUUGGCGGUAUUUUAGUUCAUUUAGAGGAAUCUGUUUAAUAAUUGAUAUUCCACGAAUAAAUUUACUUAAUUUAUAAUUUUGUAUAUCGUUGUUAAAAAAAUAUUUUUUAAUAAAAUUAAUAUUUAAAAAUUAAAAUAUAAAUUUAAAUCAGAUCAAGAUGCAGAUUAUAAUUAAGAAUAUAAUGGAUUACAAUAAAUUUAUUUAAAUGGAUUUUAAUUUUUAAUAGUUAAUUGAAAGUGGAUUUAAAUGUAAUUUUAUUUAAUUUAAUAAAAUGAUUAAAAAUUAAAAUAUGU
rnacentral:rRNA from 1 species